UCUUUCGUAGUAUAGGGGUUAGUAUGCAAGCUUGUCACGCUUGAGACCCGGGUUCGAAUCCCGGCGAGAGAG
rfam:Magnaporthe oryzae 70-15 chromosome 4, whole genome shotgun sequence.